UACGUAGGGUGCAAGCGUUGUCCGGAUUUAUUGGGCGUAAAGAGCGUGUAGGCGGUUCGGUAAGUCUGCCGUGAAAACCUGGGGCUCAACCCUGGGCGUGCGGUGGAUACUGCCGGGCUAGAGGGUGGUAGAGGCGAGUGGAAUUCCCGGUGUAGCGGUGAAAUGCGCAGAUAUCGGGAGGAACACCAGUAGCGAAGGCGGCUCGCUGGGCCAUUCCUGACGCUGAGACGCGAAAGCUAGGGGAGCGAACAGG
rnacentral:rRNA from 1 species